rnacentral:misc_RNA from 1 species
GUUUGAAUUGCUUUUCUGAAACCUCAGAUUCGGCGGCAUCUUCAGUCCAGCCCAUUGACUCCAAGGCAGCUGCUAUUUCUGGGUCAUACAUGUCAUCAUCAGUUACUUCAAAAUUACCAUCUGUACCAAUAUCAUCAGCAGUUCCAAGAAGGUUGUCAAAAUCAUAACUAGAAUCUGGUUUGUAUCGAGUGGAUAAAUCAUCAAAUUUGUCAGAAUCCAGCCCACGUAUUAAAGAAGAAAGCUCAUCAUCAGAAUCUUCAUCAUCACCCAACAGUUCCUGCUCUUCUAUUUGCUUUUCAAGAAUUUUAGCCUUCUUCAAUUCUUCCUUGGCUUCAGCAAGUUUCCCUUCCCGCUUCAGCUGGAGUGCUUUUUUCUUAUGAGCAAUGACCAGUGACUUGUCCAUUCCAUGAAUUUUCUUUUCAGGAUUAGUCUUUCCAGAAACUUCUCCAAGAAGCGCAGAAAGUUCACCUUCAAGGCUCAUGGUUGCUGGCCUUUUGUCAGCAGUACGAAGGUCCAUAUCUGACCAUCCCAGAUCUCUGAGUUCAGAAGCAAGA